AUUGAACGCUGGCGGCAUGCCUAACACAUGCAAGUCGAACGGCAGCACGGUGUGUAGCAAUACACAUGGGUGGCGAGUGGCGGACGGGUGAGUAAUGCUUAGGAAUCUGCCCAAUGGUGGGGGAUAACUAACCGAAAGGUUAGCUAAUACCGCAUACGCCUUUACGGGGAAAGCGGGGGAUCGAAAGACCUCGCGCCGAUGGAUGAGCCUAAGUCCGAUUAGCUAGUUGGUAGGGUAAUGGCCUACCAAGGCGAUGAUCGGUAGCUGGUCUGAGAGGACGGCCAGCCACACUGGAACUGAGACACGGUCCAGACUCCUACGGGAGGCAGCAGUGGGGAAUAUUGGACAAUGGGGGAAACCCUGAUCCAGCAAUGCCGCGUGUGUGAAGAAGGCCUGCGGGUUGUAAAGCACUUUCGGUUGGGAAGAAAAGUUUGGCGCUAAUACCGCCGAACCUUGACGUUACUGACAGAAGAAGCACCGGCUAACUCUGUGCCAGCCGCCGCGGUAA
rnacentral:rRNA from 1 species